AUCUAAAAGUUGGUGGAUGAUGGGCUAGAGAGGAAGACAACAGGUCAAAAUGAGUUAGGGAUGAACAACAAAGUGGACAGAAGAAGACGAGGAGGAGAGUGCAGAUGGAGAAAACAAACUAAACCUGACAGGUAAAGAAAUAUUGAGACGUGUUGAGUAAUGCUGCGUAUGACUUUAAAACCCAGGUUGCUAUGACUACGCAAAGAAAUCACAAAUAAUGAGCAUAGCAGUGUUAAAAGCACUAAAAAUAAAAUGUAGGACACUGAGACUGCAACAAAAGUAAAGCACGUUUGUAACUGCUCAAACAGACGACAUACAGGGAUGCAGGGAAGGAAACGUCAUGAAGCAAAUGUUCAUUCUGAUGAAAUACUGUGAAGAGGAGG